CUCUAAUUGAGGGGAGCACAGGCUGUACGUUAUCAGAUGUUGCUGAUGUCCUUCACAGGAGAUUUUUGUCAAUGGGACACAAAGCAUUUCAGCAACACUGAAAUGCACAAUUCCAGCACGAAGGUGACCUGAGCUGAUGGGAGGAGGCAGAGCAGAGUGCUUUGUCCCACUGCUCGCACUUGGGUGCCAGAAAGGAAGCUCUGGAAGGAUGUGUCCUGCAGAAAGCUGAAGGGAUGAGGCCAGGACACUUCAUAGAAGAUGAGCUUCAGAUCACUCCAACCUUAAUAAAUGCUGCCAGAGUUGGUUCCACCCAUUAGCAGUUGUCAGCAGGUUGUCUUUGCUUAACUGGCAGCAUCACUCAGUUGCACUCAGCAGCACCUCCCUGGAAGAGCAGUUUGCAAACCUUCCUGAGAAGUAAAUAAACACAGCGGCGAUCACAAUAUGCACUAAGAACUGAAAUGUCACCUGCUCACAGAACGUCAGAAUGCAUCAUCUUGGGCUUCUUUAGCAAUUCCUGCUGCUGGCUACGUGCUCCUA